UGCACACAAGUCCCCCUACUGCUGCC
rnacentral:piRNA from 1 species